rnacentral:rRNA from 1 species
UUCGAGUCGUUGAUUUCACACUGCCGAGAAAAGCCUCUAGAUAGAAAAUAGGUGCCCGUACCGCAAACCGACACAGGUAGUCAAGAUGAGAAUUCUAAGGUGAGCGAGCGAACUCUCGUUAAGGAACUCGGCAAAAUGACCCCGUAACUUCGGGAGAAGGGGUGCUCUUUAGGGUUAACGCCCAGAAGAGCCGCAGUGAAUAGGCCCAAGCGACUGUUUAUCAAAAACACAGGUCUCUGCUAAACCGUAAGGUGAUGUAUAGGGGCUGACGCCUGCCCGGUGCUGGAAGGUUAAGAGGAGUGGUUAGCUUCUGCGAAGCUACGAAUCGAAGCCCCAGUAAACGGCGGCCGUAACUAUAACGGUCCUAAGGUAGCGAAAUUCCUUGUCGGGUAAGUUCCGACCCGCACGAAAGGCGUAACGAUUUGGGCACUGUCUCAACGAGAGACUCGGUGAAAUCAUAGUACCUGUGAAGAUGCAGGUUACCCGCGACAGGACGGAAAGACCCCGUGGAGCUUUACUGUAGCCUGAUAUUGAAAUUCGGCACAGCUUGUACAGGAUAGGUAGGAGCCUUUGAAACGUGAGCGCUAGCUUACGUGGAGGCGCUGGUGGGAUACUACCCUAGCUGUGUUGGCUUUCUAACCCGCACCACUUAUC